rnacentral:rRNA from 1 species
AGUUUGAUCAUGGCUCAGAUUGAACGCUGGCGGCAGGCCUAACACAUGCAAGUCGAGCGGAAACGAGAAGUAGCUUGCUACUUCGGCGUCGAGCGGCGGACGGGUGAGUAAUGCCUGGGAAAUUGCCUUGAUGUGGGGGAUAACCAUUGGAAACGAUGGCUAAUACCGCAUAAUGCUUUUGUUUGUAAUGAACGGGAAGCCAAAGAGGGGGACCUUCGGGCCUCUCGCGUCAAGAUAUGCCCAGGUGGGAUUAGCUAGUUGGUGAGGUAAUGGCUCACCAAGGCGACGAUCCCUAGCUGGUCUGAGAGGAUGAUCAGCCACACUGGAACUGAGACACGGUCCAGACUCCUACGGGAGGCAGCAGUGGGGAAUAUUGCACAAUGGGCGCAAGCCUGAUGCAGCCAUGCCGCGUGUAUGAAGAAGGCCUUCGGGUUGUAAAGUACUUUCAGCAGUGAGGAAGGUGGAUGUGUUAAUAGCGACAUUCAUUUGACGUUAGCUGCAGAAGAAGCACCGGCUAACUCCGUGCCAGCAGCCGCGGUAAUACGGAGGGUGCGAGC